AAAGCCAAGUUGAAGAGCUUCACCAUGAAGCUCACGGCCAAGGGUGGAGAAAAACCAACUCCACUUCAAGCCUUCUAAAAAUUAAUUUUUUGGUUCAAACCCACUAUAUCGAGGUCCCUAAGUGGCGUGGAAGUAUCGUUUGGGUCAUCCAACCAUUUAUUUUGCCCAUUUGCAAACCCUAGCCUAUUGGGGGAUUGAAGAAGAAAGACCUUGGGGAGCCCGAGGCGUAGAUUGGAUAUUUACUUUAGAUUGGCCAUCUUGGAGUGCGUACGAGGUACAGACGCACAGUUUGGUGAUUCACCAGUUUAGGACAUCCCCUUCUGCUGUUUGGAGUGCUCUUCUCAUUUCAGAGCAUAUAAGUUGGUAUAUAUAUUUGUUCGCCGAGUAUGUAUAUAUAUUUGUUCAGGGGUACGGCGGGGCCCUGUCCCGCCAUAUGAUUCGGUUGUCUGUUUAGAGGUCUGUAGACGUAGUUGUGGGUGUGUGUGCCUACUUCUGUUCCGAUGUGUUUGUAUGA